UUCAAUUUCGCGCGUCCACCAUCAAAGCGGCUCUCACGCGUUGUCAGUCAGCUGCAUCAAUCUGUCAGCUGUCGUCUCAGAUAUGGGAUCAUGCUGUGUUUCCAAACGUGUACUCAUUUUGGUGCGAUAAUUUUGUUCAUAGGACGAUCAUCAGAUUGAUUUCAUUCACGAUUGAAAUGGAAACGUUGAAGUUCAAAGGAGACGUAUACCGUCAACGUUAUCGAACGCAGAAAAUGCGUCUUUGAGCGUCUUCUCCAGCCGCGAAAGAUCUGAGGCCAACGUGACGUUAAGGCAAGAAACAGGAAACGAAAAGAAUGAAAUAGGGCUCAGUAUUGAAGAUGAAUAUGAACAGGAUCAUUAUAAGGGGAAUAUAUUGAGUGAAGGCGAAACUUCUGAAGGCAGUUCAAAUGAUAAUAGGAAGGUGCUAUGUGUCGACACGAAAUGUAAACCGAGUUUGACAAACGCGACAUCUCCAUAUUUAUUACCAAAUAAAAUUAUCUCGAUCCAGGAGACAUUUUUACAAUUGUUAUCCUCUGAAAGAUGUUCGAUUAAGGGAACACCUCCGCGCUUGCUCAACUAUAAAAAAGUAUUGAUGAUUCCGAAAGGAACUACUGGGGUGCCGAAAAUAGUAUGAAAUCACCUUCCUCCACCUCAACUGAAGAGUUCUUGAUGUUGGCUAUUGCUACUGCGUCGAAAGCCAUUCAAACGGACAAACCCCAACUUAAAGCUAUGGGCCCAGUAUAUGGCCGGUACAUUUGUAAUCACGAGCAAGCGCUUUCAGCCGAAUGUGGCGACCACUGUCGAUGGCUGUGCUAUCGCCUAAUUGCGUGCUGGUGUUUCAUGAAGGGGAGGACAUUUCGUGGGUCGACAUGGUUCACGCUGAGUUUCAGUUGAAUGAUAAAGUUCGCGGGGAGGAGAAAUCAACGGACAAUUCCACUAUUUGUCACGUCUGCCGUUAUUCUUCAGGAGCACAGUUACGCCGAAAAGAGCGUUACGUUACUGCACUUUGGUCAGAGUCAUUAUCUAUUGACAAGAAAUGUGGCAUAUACUGAACGGCUAUAAAUUGAUUUUUACAUGAUAGGUUCCUCGUAGAGUCUUAGAUAAAUCUGUUUUUAUUCUGAAACCAUUGAAAGAUAGAUUUCUUCCUUUCACGGUUUUGGAAACACUGCAGUUAAACAUAUCUAGGUCUAUUUUGCUGCAGCUUAUAAUUACAGAAUCGAGGCUUAGAACAGAAGAUGCAAAUUUUGAGGACGAAGUGUACGAACGUUUGCCGUUGAACGUUCGUAUACAUCACUCAAAAUUUAUAAUCUUAUAUAUAUAUAUAUAUAUAAUAUAGACAUAAGAUUUGACACAUAGUUCUUGGCUACUGACGUUUUCGGUAACGGUUCGAAUUUCGUAUAUGAGGGCAUGAUAUAAAUGCUUCUGUAUUUUGUAACAAAUAUAGUUUGACGGUUGUCCGGUGUUUCAGUAAGCGUGGCAGUUUUUCUCAAAUAUUUUCUACUUCAAGGAAGCAGCGUGAAGAGGCGCCGAAUUUUACGCUACGCGAUGUACUCAAUGGCAGUGGGGGUUGGCUUGUGACUCCGGGCGUUUCUCCAAGGAUAUGCUUACCUCUUCUACUAAGAAGAAGAGAAUUACCUCUAUUAAGCCCGUUGACGGCCCAAGAGAAAUGAUGCAGAUCUAGCAAUGAAUAAUAAUAGAAUGAAAAGGUCCAUAUACAAGCUGGGCCACGUGGUAUCUACUGACAUGUAGAAUCAUACACUUAGUUGAUAUGUCGCAACGUUACGUGUUCCACAUUAUAUGGAGAAACCUCCAUUUUGCAUGUCGAAAAUAUUUUGCGUAGCAUGUUGUACUAUGGAAGGGGCCGUUUAAGUAAACGUUCAGGUAUGUAUGUACAUAGUUUCCAAUGGUUCUCAGUAUAUUUUUAGAAAGAAUAGAGCAGAAGUACAUUCAUUGUUUAAUCAUGAGAUUAUUGAAUGGGACAAAUAGAAACCUAUUGUACAUAGGACUCUACAGAGAUUUUGUUAUAGUAGUGCGCGCAUUUACUAAUAGGUCAUUGUGGACACGAUUUUUGAUCUUUUGCUUUUGAAGUGUUGGAAAUGCGAGAGCAACAACCACAUGGGAUAACAGUUUUUAGAUUGGAGUCCUUAUUUUAACAGGAUACUUAACGAUCAUAAUAAAAUUUGUUCUUUUUCCCGAUGUCCAUCCUGUAUCCUUUUUCUUAUUUCAUCUCUAUGGUCUAUAUAUAUAUGGCGUGAACUUUCCCGACCGCAGUUAGUCCAGUGUGUCAUUGCAUCAGUUUUUGAUGCAAUCGCGUGCGUUUAAGGUAUUGUAAAUUCUACUCGUUACCAGCGUGUAUUCGAAACCCAAAGCUCAUUUAUGUUCGUGUGGGUGGGUUUAUUAUUUACUGCCGCCCCAUAGAUAACGCUACGGCCACACGAAGUAGAUUACGCAUCACCAUAUAUAGAUUACCCUAU